rnacentral:rRNA from 1 species
AGAGUUGAUCAUGGCUCAGGAUGAACGCUAGCGACAGGCUUAACACAUGCAAGUCGAGGGGCAGCAUAAAGUAGCAAUACUUGGUGGCGACCGGCGCACGGGUGAGUAACGCGUAUGCAACCUACCUAUCAGAGGGGAAUAACCCGGCGAAAGUCGGACUAAUACCGCAUAAAACAGGGGCACCGCAUGGUGAUAUUUGUUAAAGAAAUUCGCUGAUAGAUGGGCAUGCGUUCCAUUAGGUAGUUGGUGAGGUAACGGCUCACCAAGCCGACGAUGGAUAGGGGAACUGAGAGGUUGGUCCCCCACACUGGUACUGAGACACGGACCAGACUCCUACGGGAGGCAGCAGUGAGGAAUAUUGGUCAAUGGGCGGGAGCCUGAACCAGCCAAGUCGCGUGAAGGAAGAAGGAUCUAUGGUUCGUAAACUUCUUUGCAGGGGAAUAAAGUGCAGGACGUGUCCUGUUUUGUAUGUACCCUGAGAAUAAGGAUCGGCUAACUCCGUGCCAGCCGCUGC